CGAACGGGUGAGUAGCGCGUGAGGAACCUGCCUCAAAGAGGGGGACAACAGUUGGAAACGACUGCUAAUACCGUAUAAGCCCACGGCUCGGCAUCGAGCAGAGGGAAAAGGAGCGAUCCGCUUUGAGAUGGCCUCGCAUCCGAUUAGCUAGUUGGUGAGGUAACGGCCCACCAAGGCGACGAUCGGUAGCCGGACUGAGAGGUUGAACGGCCACAUUGGGACUGGGACACGGCCCAG
rnacentral:rRNA from 1 species